UUGCGGACACAUCGCGUUGUAACAUCGGUUCCCGUAAGAUCACCAAAGUUAAGCAACAUCGCACCUAGUCAGUACAUCUAUGGGUGACCGCUUCAGAAUACCAGGU